UACACUAAGCAACGUUUGAAUGAACGGCACCUACCUCACCCAUCAUCAGUAUCGAGAGUUACAGGUUGAUCGGCUGUCAGUGCGACAUUGAUGCUGUGAAGUGGAUGACGCCACGGGUGCAUCACACAAACGAGGGAGCUCUAUCGUCAGUCGUCGCAAGACGGGAACAUCUGUCGGCCUUGGGAGCGACAAAAAGUAGACCGCGAGUAAUUAGUGUUGUGGCUUCUCCCGUUACGUUGGACCCGGAUCAAUCGAUUUCCCCGUGCCCCUGAUUUUUACCCAGGGAAAAUGCAACCGAACGGACUCCAGUGUUUCGUCAUCGCCGCUGUCGUUGCUCUGUGUAAGGUAGCUUCGCCGAGCCCGACGAGGCUCUCGAUCCGCGGCCUCUUCGACUCCUUCCUGCCGACCCCGGCGACUAGCCCGCCGCUGGCAGCGGCGGCGGCGGCGGCGGCUCCAGCUGUGGCUGUGGUGGCCGCAGCCCCAGUUAACGCAUCCGCCACCCUCUCGACCUCGCCCUCGACGCCAUCGCUCUUCUCCUCCAUGUCCGGGUGGUUCGCGCCGGUGGUGGCAGCGGUGAGCCCUGAGGAGCUGGCGCGGCGCCGGGAGGAGGCGCUGCGGGCCCAGCGCGAGGAGGAGAAGCGGCGCAAGAUCGAGGAGAUCCGCCGCGUCGUCCUCAAGAUCCCGGGCGUGGAGCUCGCCGACCAGCUCACCCGCAAGACCGCCUCCGCCAUCGGACUCGGCCUCGGCUACAGCACCGCCCGCGCCCAGGCCCUCGUCAACGACUUCUACAACCGCCUCCGCGCCAAAGGCCAGCCCGCACCCGCCCCCUAGGACUCACUUAUCACUGCAUUUGAAACUGAGCUUCCCGCCGGCCCAGCAGACUCAUUUGCACGUACUCGAGUACCUGUACAGCGAGAGUAUGGACCGGAGACGAGAGACCCUCCACCGGCCUCUUGGCGACAGGUGGAAGCUUUUACUUUCGGGGUUUCAACAAUUCCUUAUGGACAAUUACUAGGGAGCAACAGUCAUCACCCCAGUUUCGGCUGUUGACUUACCUACAUGGUCGAUGAUGAGCUUCGGAUGACGUCAUGAGAGAAACAAGUUUCCCAAACGUCGACCAUUUUGGCUUGUUUGCAAAACGGAACUGCCAACACGUUGUUGAACAUCAACCAUGUAGGUAAGUCAACAGUAGAAUGCUGAAGUCCCGAAAGUAAAAGCUUCCCCAAUGGCCAAGAUACUAGUGGAGGGUCUCUUGUCUCUGGUAUGGACAGAUGUGAAACUCCGAAAAUCCAUCAGGCCUUCGCCGAUGCUUUUGCGAAUAAAGUUAGGGCCCAGAAAUGCAGCCGACCUAUGAAAUACAAUUAUCCAGAACGAUUUACUAAUACUAUUGUUACGAACCGUCGUUUAUAAAGCUCGUAUUUGACUCAGUUUUUGCAUUAAUUUACUCAUUUUUGCGGAAGAACGCUCAUUUCUGUACAUUCUUGGCCGUCUUGGUUAGAAUUGGAAUUUGCAGACUCUGCAGACUGGCAGUGAAAUUUUGUGUGGUAGAAGUUGGUUAGAGAGAUGGCUGCACUUUUUGGCCCUAAGACCUCCAUGAAGCGAUCUGUCCAUACUCUCGCAAUUCAGGUACUCUAGGACGUAUUUAUGCUAAAUGGUAAUAAGUGCGAGUGGAAAGAUGGGGUGUGCUCGUUAGUGGUCGGGCCAUAAGAAUGAACGAGAAUCUCCUGCGUGAGCCCGACUACCUCAUGAGCCCUGUCCACAAGGUUCUUUUCCAGUGUUCGAAACUCACAGGCGCCAACGCACACAAUGCGCCUAAAAAAUCGGCCAUGGCGCCUAAAAAAUGAAGGAUCUGCGCCAACGUGGCCCCUAAAAAUCUGGAUUUUCACAGGAAGUCACAUAAAGAACGAAAGAAAUCCAUUGAAUUGAAAAAACUCAGAAUUUCAGCACUACAAGAAAAGCAUAUUUCUAUCCUUCACGAUUUCAUUCUUAGUGCUUUGUCUUCCCCAAGUUACAGCUACUUGCUGGUUCUGUUACGAAAACAUCUUGCGUCUAACUUUUCACUAAAUGCGCCGUAAUAUAUGGGCAAAAAGUCAAUUUGGCCCCUAAAAAAUCUUCAAUGGCGCCUAAAAAUCGGGCUUGAUGCGCCACAUGGCUCCUAAAACUCAAAGGUGAGUUUCGAACACAGGAUGGGGUGUGCUCGUUAGUGGUCGGGCCAUAAGACACGAGCACACCCCAUCUUUCCACUUGCUUAUAGUUCCUUUUGGCAUAAAUACGUCCAUUUAUUCCCUACGACAACGAGAGCACACAAGGUAGAGUCUCUUUAACUGAUGAGCCCUGUCCACUAUGCUCUUGUCACAUGUCCAUGGCUCACGAGCGCCGUAUUCAGUUGGCGCUUGGUUCCGUUUGAUUUAGUGUCAAAUCCCGCUUUUCCAUAUUUCGCCAAAAGGAAUCAUGUCUACUUUUACAGUGUUUGUUAUGCAGCUCGCCACGAGCACACCCCAUCUCUCCCACACGUUUUUAGUUCUGUUUAGCGGGAAUAAGCCGAAUUUCCCCCCUCUUUAUCCUGAUUUUCAUUGAUUGUAACCACCCUGCGGGCCGAUUAUUGAAACUGAUGGACAAAGCUAUAGAUAAAGACUACAAAAGGAUUUGGAGGGAUCCUACUGGUGGAAGCGGGUGGUAGCAAGGGACAUAGGAGGUAGGUAAUAGACUAACUAACGGCAACCUACCAAAGAAUCGACAAUUAGUCCAUCAUUUCCUCUUUUAGUCUAUAAGAACCACCCAUUUCAACCAAUAGGCUGAUCGCUCCGUACUCCCUAUGUCUUCUUUGUCUAUCGCCUUGUUUAUCAAUUUCAAUAAUCAGCCCUAGUGGAAGUGAAUAGAUUAAAAUAAUGCAUCAAAAUUUGAUGGAGCUUACCUUAGUUGACGGCGUCGACAGAACGUGUGUGCGAUCCUCUUUCGCCGUGCUCGGGUGUAAAACUACACCUCCAUAACUAAGACAGAUGUUAAGGAUUUAUACUUAACUAAAACAUCGGAGUCAUUUAAAAGAUAAUUGAACGUCUAUCAAUCGUAGUCAUUGAAAAUGAUGGAAUCGAUUUCUGGUAAAGCGGCGUUUAAGUCACCGAAAAUAUUUACAGGUGCGGCAAAAACUGAUUUUCUCGUCAAGCGAGAUGGUCGAAACAAGUUUAGAGUGUUUAAAGAAUGGAUCAACAUUUGCUUGAAAGUUCUAAAAUAAUUGUUUUGAUUAGGAAACUUUUAGUACUCUUUCAAGGUAGUUUGAAAUUUCAGAUUUACAUCCUUCUCCGUGGAAAUUCAGGAAAACUGAGACAUUUUUAAGAGAAAAAAACUAUGUUUGAAGUAUUUUUGGAGCUUUAUAUCCCGUGUUUGUUAUUUUUAUAGAGCAUGGUGGUAUGACCUAUAGAUAAAGACAAAAAUACCUGGGCGUUGUUCUUUUUUCCAAAUUAAAUUGAAAUGUCCUCGAAAAAUAAGUGAGAACCCGUCAGAUGAACAAAACUACGGGGAAGAAAUUAAAAAAUUUGGACUUGCGCGCUUCUACCAGAGAGCGAUCCAUUUCGGCGUCUAACUAUCGUAUCAUCAAAAAAAUAAUAUACUUCCAAGACAGCAAAGAUUCAUGGACAUUUUCUAUGAUAAAGAUGAGAUAAAGAAAUAAUAAUGAAAAGAUAUUUUGGUUCAUGUCAAACGCCAAAAUAUUCAGUCCAGGUACAAGCAUUUUUCCACGUAGAAACUAAACUUUGCUUUGGGUAACUAAAAUUAUUGCCUACCAAGUGCUACAUAUAGCACAAUUACAUAAAAAAUUAGUGAGUUGAAAGACUCGUACUCUACCUAAUUCAGUUUUUCCGACCGGCAAUUUUGGUUACCUGGAAUGAAAACUGUGGUGUUACGAACUAAGGUUAGGUCCUGAUGGUGACAGAAUUUUUUUUCCUCUGCGGAAAAUGAUAAACACACACACCCUUACGCUGACACGUCAUUUUAAAAGCCAGACAACUACGUGUUGCGGUGGGACUUUUUAAAUCUACUACAGAUUUUGCAAGCACUAUUUCUGAAAAAAAUGUUUGAAAUGUUUUGAAAAAACUAAAACCCCUCAGCUUUUUCUGAAUUUGACAGCUGAUAACUUUCGCAACUUUAGCUUCAAACUCCUCAGCUUUAUGAUGAUCUUUGUACUGAUAGUCCAAUGUAAUAUCAUAUUCCUCUCUGUUACAUUUUAAUAAAAUCUUUUUCGCCUGAAAAUACGAAGGAAACACUACAUUCCUGCAUUACACCUUUAUGAAACCGCCCUUACCUCUUCAGGAG
rnacentral:lncRNA from 1 species